rnacentral:rRNA from 1 species
ACCCUCGUUAAGGAACUCGGCAAAAUGUACCCGUAACUUCGGGAUAAGGGUAGCCGCUGUUGUGAAGUCUGAACAGACGGAGCAUGAGGCGGUCGCAGAGAAGAGGCCCAAGCGACUGUUUACCACAAACACAGGUGCCUGCUAAAGAGAAAUCUGACGUAUAGGUGCUGACACCUGCCCAGUGCCGGAAGGUUAAGGAAGGAUGUCCGGAGCAAUCCAAAGCAUUCGACCGAAGCCCCGGUGAACGGCGGCCGUAACUAUAACGGUCCUAAGGUAGCGAAAUUCCUUGUCGGGUAAGUUCCGACCCGCACGAAAGGUGUAACGAUUUGGGCACUGUCUCAACGAGGGACCCGGUGAAAUUGAAGUACCUGUGAAGAUGCAGGUUACCCGCGACUGGACAGAAAGACCCCAUGGAGCUUUACUGUAACCUGACAUUGGGUUCUGAUACAUCACGUACAGGAUAGGUGGGAGGCAUGGAAGCGAGGACGCUAGUCUUCGUGGAGCCGCCGUUGGGAUACCACCCUUGAUGUAUCGGAAUUCUAACCGUAGGAGUAACGAAACUCGGGACAGUGUCAGGCGGGCAGUUUGACUGGGGCGGUCGCCUCCCAAAGAGUAACGGAGGCGCCCAAAGGUUCCCUCAGCGCGGCCGGAAAUCGCGCGAAGAGUGUAAAGGCAGAAGGGAGCUUGACUGAGAGCCAAACACGGCGAUCAGGUACGAAAGUAGGGCUUAGUGAUCCGGUGGCAUCCAAGUGGAAGGGCCAUCGCUCAACGGAUAAAAGCUACCCUGGGGAUAACAGGCUAAUCUCUCCCAAGAGUCCAUAUCGACGGGGAGGUUUGGCACCUCGAUGUCGGCUCAUCACAUCCUGGGGCUGAAGUCGGUCCCAAGGGUUGGGCUGUUCGCCCAUUAAAGUGGUACGUGAGCUGGGUUCAGAACGUCGUGAGACAGUUCGGUCCCUAUCCAUCGCGGGCGCAAGAGAUUUGAAGGGGGCUGCUCCUAGUACGAGAGGACCGGAGUGGACGAACCAAUGGUGUACCAAUUAUCUCGCCAGAGGUAUAGUUGGGUAGCUACGUUCGGAAAGGAUAAACGCUGAAAGCAUCUAAGCGUGAAACCAGCCUUAAGAUGAGAUCUCUCAUAGAGUAAUCUAGUAAGACACCUUGGAGAAGACGAGGUUGAUAGGUCGGGAGUGUAAGUACAGUAAUGUAUUCAGCGGACCGAUACUAAUAUGUCGAGGGCUUGACUUA